rnacentral:lncRNA from 1 species
GCUUGACAGAACGAUCAUGUAUUUCAGGUGAAACAGCAAUACAUGCAUCGGUAAUGUGUAUAUAUCCUGUUAAUUUACUGAAUUAAUUGAAAGUGCUUAAGAGGCCACAAAGAAAUUAAACUUUUUGUUUUAUAUAUAGUAACAACAUAUUUUUUCUUGAUGAAUUCAUCGUUCUUGUUAUAUGGGGUCAUUGACUGCCAGUAUCGCCGAUCACAUUGCAUGAGUGGGUUUCAUAAAAUUUCCGAAAUAAAUUCUGAAUAAUUUUUUUACGACAGAGAAAUACUCGAAAUGUGAUAGGAAAAAUUGUAUUUUUGCUCAUUGAAACCAAAUAGGAUAUGUUUCUAUAAGCAUGCAGACAGGCUAAAUCCUUCUUUUCAGAGAGCAUGAAAAGUCUAAAAUCACUAGAACAUAGGAGAAAUGCGGUGAUUAAGUUUAAGAUCUACAAGUAUCAGCAAAAUAGAAGUAAAUUUUUUUGUUCAUUCAUAAGUGUCCUGUUUGUGAAUUAGAUUUUUAUGCACCUUCCGAUUCGCAUCAAUAAACUCUCUGUGUACGUGCCCUCUCCCUUUUUUGUUAUUUUUAUUUUUCUCUAUAUGUUGCAGAUUAUGCUAGUGAAAAUGAAUUGGAACAUCUAAGGACUUCGGUAGAUUUUCUGGUGGAACUUUGUGAAACUGUCUCUCCUCUCAGAGUGUGGCUCUUUCUAUUCUUCCUUUAUUGCUCAAUCUUGUUUUUUGUGCAAUAUAAUAAUUUGCACUCCCCUACUUAGUACCAUUAGUUUGGAUAUUUCUCAUGCAUAUGUUGCAGGUUGAGGAGAGUAAUUUUAAGAACUGGUCACACCAGGCCAUUGAUUUCAUUCUUGGUAGGAUAUUUUCUUUUCAGUUGUCCUUUUUGUUUCUAAAAGCAUAAGCUACACUAAAAUUAGGAGCCAUAUCUACCACCAAAUCACAAAUGGUGACACAUAAUCCCUUCUAUAUGGAGAUGAACAGAAGUAUUUAUGUGUAUAACUGCAGUUAUGGUCUUCUUUCUUUCCGUGCUUGGGGGGUAAUUUCUGGACAUUGGGUGGAGUAUACCACUGUCAGUUCUAUGUAUCAUUUCAAAACUCAAAUAUUACCAUCUCCAUCUGCACUGGGGCUGUAGUUAUCUAGAUAAAUUGCUUUAGAUGGAUCUCUCUCCCUGUGCAUAUUUCACUCUUAAAACAUUAUCUUGUAUGGAUUCGAGAAACUAAAGGAUUGUUAAAAGUAAUUAAUCAGACUUCUGUUGUGCUGUUCUAAUUCUUGAAAAGAAUAUGACAUUUGAUUAGUAAAAACAUGCUGUCAAACUCUUCAUUUGAAAAGCUUAUCAAAUAUAAGAUAUUUGUUUUCUGGAAGAACCUUGCUAUACAUACCCAUGUACAAAUAGGAAAAUUCUUUCUGGAAUUCUUGGUCAUUUUCUGUGAAUAUGCUCAUUAUACAUUUUUCUGAAGCUGCAUCGGUUUCUCUAUAAGGGAUCAAGGACUGCAUCAUUAAUUCUUCCUCGCUUCUGUCUCACUCUGUCCAUGGUUUUCUGUUUUGUCUUUUCUUAUUUUAUGUCGUUCCAAAAUAAAAUAUUACCUAUUUCAAUUGUCUUACACUACUAAAUUUGUUUUAUGAAGACACAUUAAAGGCUCUGUCAUCAAUGGGAAUGGAAGAAGUAACUGUUGAAAGCAGUGUGAGCAGCUUAAUCAUGCGUUUGUUGGGAAGAAUGUGUAAUGGGCCACAAGAUGGUAAAUCUUUAGUUAUGUUUCUGCUUAAAUUUUAUGUUUCCAUUACAUUUCUGUCAUAUUAAUUAUGUCGCUAGAUGCAUUGGAUUCCAUAACCUCUCCUAGCAACAUAAUCCAAGAGUUGGGUUUGAAAAAUGCUUUCACUUCAGUUUAUUCGAUCAAUUUGCCUCCAGAUCAUUAUUUCAUCAAUUAAUUUCUUUUCCUGUUGUUUAAAAUUUCUAUUUUCCAGAAUCACACCACUCUCCCAAUAAUGUCCAGUUCUAUGUUCAGCAUUUGCUGCGUAAGCUUGGAAGCAACGCUUACAUUGGCCAACGUGUGAUCCUUUCUGUUUCUCAGAGAGUCUCUGUAACGGCAGAAAGUUUACUCUUCAUGGACCCAUUUGAUGAUUCCUUCCCCAAAAUGCAUAAUUGUAUGUACAUAAUGUAAGAUUUGCUUCAUCAUAUAUAUCGCAUUUGUGAUUAACAUUCAUCAUUGAUUGAAUCUUCAUGUUCUUAGUUUCAUUUUAUAUGACUCUAGAAUAUUCUGAUAGCAUUUGAAUAGUUAGUAGUUGUAUGGAAUCACUUUUCGCUGCAGUAUCUUCACAUUUCCCAAAGCAAUCAAUUUGAUGAGAACCAAUCGACUAUUUGAUUAGUACAUUUUUGUGUAAUAUGACUGUUUGCUUGGAGAAAUAUCUUUCUCAGUGCAUAUGUUUUACAUCUUAUGAAGUAAUCACGUCCUCCUCUUACAUCUACUAGAGUGGAGAACAUUGUGUGAUUCCAUUAAUAAUAAUCUUAUCGCAUAGAUUCUAGCAUUCUUUUUGUCCUAAAUAUUUGGAGCGUUUGAUGUCUAUGAAGCUUGACAGAUUUUCUACAACUUGGGACUCCUGGGUUCAUUGUCUGAAGUUCUGUCACCAAUGGUGUUUGCUUGUUCAUAUAUCGCAAAUUCUCCAGCUAUUAUUUAUCCAUUUGGAAUUUCCUAAAUUACAUGGUUGAAUUUUAAAAUUCAGUCGUUGAAUAGGUAAAAAAAAUUACAACAAUUUGGUUGGUAUCUUAACAUCAUUUUCUGAAAAGCGGGAGAUUUGCAUGUUAACCGCCUUAUUCAGUUGUUUGAGCUGUCAUGGGAGUAUUAUAUGUGUUAUAUUUUAUCUUCAAUACAACGCUAAUGUGUUGGUAAAAUACAAAUUUUAUCAAAAUUUUUUUAAAUUUUUUUCUUUCUUUGGUAAUUUGUUUACAGGCUAUCGCAUGGGGUAGCACUUUUGCAAUUCAUGUCUUCACACUAAUUAUUUUCAGUUUCUUUUGGAUGAUAAAAUAUGUUUGUCAUUCAGUCUCAUAGUGCCUUCACGUGCGUACAAUUUGAUGCAAACACAAAAAAUAAAAAAUAAAAAAAAGGGGAAAAAUUGAGUGACUUAUCAUUUGGCAUUUCUCAGGUUUAUCUUAACACAAUUGUAAUGUAUAUGGCAGGAUCCAGCUUAUUGAGUUUCUGGUUUCGGACAACUUGCUAACUUGGUCAAAGGAUGAAGCCUUCGACUUAAGUACGUGUUUCGCUUUUUUGCGUUGGUUAUUUCCUGAACUCAUUCUCAUGACCGUAUAGUAAUUGCAGCAAUCAUAUUAUUGAUAAUCUGUAUAAGACUACAAGUAAAAUUUGAUUUGGAACCAACUUCUUGCGUCAUUCUUGUUCAUCAAAGUUUUAGUUGUACUAGACAUUGGGUAUCAAAUUAACUUGGUAUGGUGUCACCAUGUAGAGCUUUUGGAAGAAUGGGUGACAUCUCUUUGUCACUCUCGGAAAGUCCUGGAGCUCUUGGAGAGCAGGAAUGCACUAUACAUUCUAUAUAUGGAUCGCAUAAUCGGGGAUUUGAGUAGGCAAUUGGGUCAGGUUUCCUUUCUUCAAAAGCUAAAACCAGAUAUUUUUGCUAAACUGUUUAACUAACUCUUGCAAUAUCUUCAAAUGUAAGUCGACACUUCUUGAGUACCUUUUUGCCUGUGAUGUAUCAUCGUAUUUCUUGUCAGGAAUUUGUGAAGUUUAUUGAAUGUGCAUAACUAAUUUGACUUGAUGAUUUGGGUGAGAUGUAUGAAAUUUAAGUUUGAAGGGUAUACUUCCGAACAUUUUUAACAAUGUAAGUAUAGAAUAAACAAUUCCAGUAACAAAACGAUGUCUUCUAGUAGUGUAUGUAAGAAUAAGAUCGCUCGG